rnacentral:tRNA from 1 species
GCUCCCGUGGCGGAACGGCAUACGCGCAUGGCUUAGGACCAUGUCCCCUAAAGGGUUGGAGGUUCAAAUCCUCCCGGGAGCA